AGUGAACGCUGGCGGUAGGCCUAACACAUGCAAGUCGAACGGCAGCACAGUAAGAGCUUGCUCUUACGGGUGGCGAGUGGCGGACGGGUGAGGAAUACAUCGGAAUCUACUUUUUCGUGGGGGACAACGUAGGGAAACUUACGCUAAUACCGCAUACGACCUACGGGUGAAAGCAGGGGAUCUUCGGACCUUGCGCGAUUGAAUGAGCCGAUGUCGGAUUAGCUAGUUGGCGGGGUAAAGGCCCACCAAGGCGACGAUCCGUAGCUGGUCUGGGAGGAUGAUCAGCCACACUGGAACUGAGACACGGACCAGACUCCUACGGGAGGCAGCAGUGGGGAAUAUUGGACAAUGGGCGCAAGCCUGAUCCAGCCAUACCGCGUGGGUGAAGAAGGCCUUCGGGUUGUAAAGCCCUUUUGUUGGGAAAGAAAAGCAGCAGGUUAAUACCCCGCUGUUCUGACGGUACCCAAAGAAUAAGCACCGGCUAACUUCGUG
rnacentral:rRNA from 1 species